GUCAUAUGCUUGUCUCAAAGAUUAAGCCAUGCAUGUCUCAGUACAAGCCAAAUUAAGGUGAAACCGCGAAAGGCUCAUUAAAUCAGUUAUGGUUCCUUAGAUCGUACCCACAAUUACUUGGAUAACUGUGGUAAUUCUAGAGCUAAUACAUGCAAACAGAGCUCCGACCGGAGACGGGAGGAGUGCUUUUAUUAGAUCAAAACCAAUCGGUGGCGGGUGCGUUCGCGCGCGCUCGUUAUCGAACGAACUUGGUGACUCUGAAUAACUUUACGCUGAUCGCACGGUCAUCGCACCGGCGACGCAUCUUUCAAAUGUCUGCCUUAUCAACUGUCGAUGGUAGGUUCUGCGCCUACCAUGGUUGUAACGGGUAACGGGGAAUCAGGGUUCGAUUCCGGAGAGGGAGCCUGAGAAACGGCUACCACAUCCAAGGAAGGCAGCAGGCGCGCAAAUUACCCACUCCCGGCACGGGGAGGUAGUGACGAAAAAUAACGAUACGGGACUCAUCCGAGGCCCCGUAAUC
rnacentral:rRNA from 1 species